AUACAUGCAAGUCGAGCGGAUUGAUGGGAGCUUGCUCCCUGAAAUCAGCGGCGGACGGGUGAGUAACACGUGGGUAACCUGCCUGUAAGACUGGGAUAACUCCGGGAAACCGGGGCUAAUACCGGAUAGUUCUUUUCCUCGCAUGAGGAAAAGUGGAAAGGCGGCUUCGGCUGCCACUUACAGAUGGACCCGCGGCGCAUUAGCUAGUUGGUGAGGUAACGGCUCACCAAGGCAACGAUGCGUAGCCGACCUGAGAGGGUGAUCGGCCACACUGGGACUGAGACACGGCCCAGACUCCUACGGGAGGCAGCAGUAGGGAAUCUUCCGCAAUGGACGAAAGUCUGACGGAGCAACGCCGCGUGAGUGAUGAAGGUUUUCGGAUCGUAAAGCUCUGUUGUUAGGGAAGAACAAGUGCCGUUCGAAUAGGGCGGCACCUUGACGGUACCUAACCAGAAAGCCACGGCUAACUACGUGCCAGCAGCCGCGGUGAUACGUAGGUGGCAAGCGUUGUCCGGAAUUAUUGGGCGUAAAGCGCGCGCAGGCGGUCUCUUAAGUCUGAUGUGAAAGCCCACGGCUCAACCGUGGAGGGUGAUUGGAAACUGGGGGGACUUGAGUACAGAAGAGGAAGAGU
rnacentral:rRNA from 1 species